GACGAACGCUGGCGGCGUGCUUAACACAUGCAAGUCGAACGGAGUGGCGAACGGGUGAGUAACACGUGGGUGACCUGCCCUGCACUUCGGGAUAAGCAUGGGAAACUGGGUCUAAUACCGGAUAGUGUGGGAUGGGCCCGCGGCCUAUCGGCUUGUUGGUGGGGUAGGGGCCUACCAAGGCGGCGACGGGUAGCCGGCCUGAGAUGGUGGACGGCCACAAUGGGACUAAGAGACGGACCAGACGCCUACGGGGGGCAGCAGUGGGGAAUAGUGCACAAUGGGGGGAAGCCUGAUGCAGCGGCGCCGGGUGGGGGAUGACGGCCUUCGGGUUGGGAACUCCUUUCACCAUCGACGCGGUAGAUGGAGAAGAAGCACCGGCUAACUACGUGCCAGCCGCCGCGGUAAUAC
rnacentral:rRNA from 1 species